GCCUUGUUAGCUUAGUUGGUAGGGCGUCUGCCUUUUGUAAGCGCUAGGCCGCGGGUUCGAUUCCCGCCCAGGGUA
rfam:Asian citrus Psyllid, Diaphorina citri - Florida Strain, whole genome shotgun sequence.